UACAGAGGGUGCAAGCGUUAAUCGGAAUUACUGGGCGUAAAGCGUGCGUAGACGGUUACAUAAGUCGGGUGUGAAAGCCCCGGGCUCAACCUGGGAAUUGCAUUCGAGACUGCGUAGCUAGGGUGCGGAAGAGGGAAGCGGAAUUUCCGGUGUAGCGGUGAAAUGCGUAGAUAUCGGAAGGAACACCAGUGGCGAAAGCGCUCUGCUAGGCCGCAACUGACACUCAUGGACGAAAGCUAGGGGAGCGAAUGGG
rnacentral:rRNA from 1 species